rnacentral:tmRNA from 1 species
GGGGGCGAAACGGGUUCGACGGGGGCAAAGAAGCAUUGGCUGCAUGUCGAGCUUUCCUGUCCGCUCGUAAAACGACGGGAAAAUAAAUAUAAUCGCAGACGAUUAUAACUACGCCGUAGCGGCUUAAGCUACCGUCCUUCCAGGUUACUCCUGCGGAUCUGGAAAGGGCGUCGACUAGCGGGAUAGCAACGGUUAAUGCCUGAUGGAACCGAAGCGAAACUCUAAUCAGGAUAAGCUUGAAAGGACCUCGCCCGGAAGGGCCUUGAUGGCUGACACACAAACUUCGGGAUAAGCAUGUAGAUGCCCAUGUGGAAUGUUUUCGGACGCGGGUUCGACUCCCGCCGCCUCCACCA